GAAUGCUAAAAAUAGUCAAUACAUACAGUAUUUAUACUUGUUUAUUGUACACAGAAUACAAAUUAAUCUGACGCAUUAUGGCGGUACUUGACGUAAUAUUUGAUAAAGCGGCAGACAAAUGACGUAAGGUAUUGACUGAUCAAUAUGCAAACUGUACUUAAGGGGUGUUGCGGCAGUUUAUUGAACCGAGCGUAAAUUUAUGGCCACACCGCUUGCUAUUAUCACGACCCGAUAUUUUAUUUGCACGUGAUAAAUAUUCGGAUUUCGGAUAUGAAACCGCGUUCAUCAUUCUAUACAUAGAUGGUGACGUCACUACGUUAUUAUCAGUAAGACCGGUGUGACACAAUGCCGCGUUCAUAUUUUUUGAGUUUGACGUCACGUCCGGUUGACAAAAACCAGUUUAACAAUUAAGAGAAAAUUAUUUUAAUAAUAUUAUUUUUAAAUGGUUUUUUGAAAGUAGAAGUUGGUUAAAUUGAGUGAAUUAACAGAAAUAAAUGACCAGUGAGCCAAAUAUAACUAAAACGUGUAGGAAAUCUGAAUUCGACCGGAAAAAAGCGAGUGACAGAAAACAGCUGUUCAAGACAUCCGGUGAGAGGUCAAGGACGAAGCCGUAAAUAUUACUUACAUGCAGUAAAAAGACAGUUUAUAAUCAGAGAAGAGAAGUUGCAGUAAGGGAUGGUGCAUUCUGGUAUUGGAUUGACCCAUAUCAACAACUUCAUGAGUUCAAUUGAGGUCCCUACAAUCCACCAUAAAACAUUGAAGAAUGUUGAGUGAAAGGUUGGUCAGCACAUAGUUUCGGUUGCAAGGACAUCCUGUAGCAAGGCAUUACAAGAAGAGGAAAUUGAAAUAGGAAGGAGCUUGUGUACAAACGCUACUAGCACCACUUCCUCACACACUGAUGCUACAUCAGAGGAGUUCAGCUUCAGACAUGCCGCCCUUGAAAAUGAUGGUUUAGCACUGCAAGAUGUCACCGCAGAAGGUAUCUUGACAGACGCUACUAGUACCACUUCCUCACACACUAUUGCUACAUCAGAGGAGUUCAGCUUCAGACAUGCUUUCCUUGAACAUGAUGGUUUAGCACUGCACGAAGCGGGUGCAGCUGAAACCUCACCCCAUCCAGAACAUGCAUAUUCAAGGGAUCUUACGAAAGGCCGCCUUGCAGGGCAAUUCAAGUAUGACAUGGGAUGGCAGAAAAGAGGCUCAGGGAGAUGCUUUGACAGCAAAUCAGGCGUGGGAACGAUGAUAGGAAACUUGAAGGGCAAAAUCUGUGCAUAUGGUAUUCGCUCCAAAAGUUGUUAGAAAUGUGACUACCAUAUAGCUAAGGGCAGUAGUGUUCCUGAGCAUAAAUGUAAUAGAAAUUGGGCAGGGAGCUCAAAAGCAAUGUAGCCGGAUGUUGCAGGAGAUCUCGUUCAAGAGAUUGAAAUGAAAAAUGUUGAUGUAGGUGUUCUUAUAAUGGAUGAUGACUGUACUACAUUAGCCAGGGUGCGUAAAGAUCUUUCACACCCUGUAGAAAAAUGGAGUGACCAAAAUCACACAGUUAAGCAUAUUGGAAACAGCUUGUAUCUCUUACAGAAGAAACAUAAAGUGCUUUCUGUAAUGGUCAUUAAACACAUUCAAAAAUGUUUCAACUAAGCGUUAGCCCAAAACAAAGGUGAUGUUGUCAAAUUUACAUUGGCUCUGAAACAAAUAAUUCCCCACCUGUUUGGAGAUCAUGAAAAUUGUGGAGAAUGGUGUGGUUUUAAUAAAAAUCCUAACACUUAUAAACAUAGAGGUUUGCCUUAUGGUAAACCUUUGUUUGGAGAAAUCUUGAGGUCAGAUUUAGAAGCUGUGAUUAAUGUAGUGGUCCAGAAUGCUUCUAAGAUAGCGCCAGGUGCAUCUACAAGGGACGUUGAGUCUUUCAACUGUAUGGUAGCUACAAAAGCUCCAAAAAGGAGUCACUUCUCUGUCUCAGAAAGUCUUUUGAUAAGAACUAGUUUUGCUGUGGCACAAAAUAUAUUGGAGCUUCGUAUGUGAACACAGUUAAUAAAAGUAUAGGGAUCUCGCCUGGAAAAUUAUUUAAACUUCAUGCUGCAAAGCAAAACAAACUUCAAAAACGAAGAAUUGAAAUAUCGAACAGUGUUGUAUACAAGA